rnacentral:rRNA from 1 species
AUUGAACGCUGGCGGCAUGCCUUACACAUGCAAGUCGAACGGUAACAGGUCUUCGGAUGCUGACGAGUGGCGAACGGGUGGGUAAUACAUCGGAACGUGCCUAGUAGUGGGGGAUAACUACUCGAAAGAGUGGCUAAUACCGCAUGAGAUCUACGGAUGAAAGCAGGGGAUCGCAAGACCUUGUGCUACUAGAGCGGCCGAUGGCAGAUUAGGUAGUUGGUGGGAUAAAAGCUUACCAAGCCGACGAUCUGUAGCUGGUCUGAGAGGACGAUCAGCCACACUGGGACUGAGACACGGCCCAGACUCCUACGGGAGGCAGCAGUGGGGAAUUUUGGACAAUGGGCGCAAGCCUGAUCCAGCAAUGCCGCGUGCAGGAUGAAGGCCUUCGGUUUGUAAACUGCUUUUGUACGGAACGAAAAGCCCCGGGUUAAUACCCUGGGGUCAUGACGGUACCGUAAGAAUAAGCACCGGCUAACUACGUGCCAGCAGCCGCAGUAA